AUUGAACGCUGGCGGCAUGCCUAACACAUGCAAGUCGAACGAGUUGCGGAAGGGUGAGUAACAUCUUGGAUACUGCCUGAUAGUGGGGGAUAACUACUCGAAACUUUAGCUAAUACUGCAUACCAUUCGAUCUGCCCAGCUGGUAUUAGCUAGUUGGUGGGGUAAAGGCCUACCAAGGCUACGAUCCCUAGCGGGUCUGAGAGGAUGACCGGCCAGACUGGAACUGAGCAACGGCCCCGACUCCUACGGGAGGCAGCAGUGGGGAAUUUUGCGCAAUGGGCGCAAGCCUGAUCCAGCCAUGCCGCGUGUGUGAAGAAGGCCUUCGGGUUGUAGAGCACUUUUGGUAGGGAGGCGUUACCUGAAGAAGAAGCACCGGCUAACUACGUACCAGCAGCCGCGGUAAUAC
rnacentral:rRNA from 1 species